ACAAGCGCUGACUCGCUGCUUUCCCUGGCCAACCUCCUUCAUUUUUGCCACUGAGUUUAAGCCACCAGCUGCUUAGCCAGGCGCCCGGCGGUGUUUGCUCCCCCAGAGAGGAGCCGGAGGGACCAAGUGCAGCGGUGUUUAUCCUUUUGGCUUUUCUCUGGAGAAUUAUGCCACAUCUGAAGUUGUAUAAGAUGCACUAUAGCAUAGUAAAUAUUCUGGCUACAGCUGGGCAAAUUCACAACUAAACUCAUGACCAGAUGUGGAAUCAAGAAGUUCCAACUGAAGCUUUGGAGCAACCAUUCAAAUUGAAACCACUUAAAAUGGCAGCAUUAACUGCUGUGUUUUAUACAGAACAAGAUCUGACUUUUCGUGGCACCUUGCCAGUUAUUGUCUUCACCUGGGGAGCCAAUUUAGCCACUGUGUAAGCAGAUGCAUCUCCCAUUGACUUCAGAAAGAGUUUUACCAAAUAGAACCAGAGCUGAAUUUGGUUUGUGGAUGGAAGUUUCAGUUUCCUUAUCAGGGGACGUAACAUGGGCAGUUGUACCUUUGUGAUUGCUGUGAUGCCAGCAGGAAUUGAUACAACUAUUAUUUUGUGUGGGGGGGGGGGUAAACAAUUAACUCUGUAACUAAAUGCUAUAGUUUUAGAACACUAAAUGGAUAUAGAUUAUACCAGCUCUCUGUAUCCUUCUACCAUCUGUCUGUAUUCUCAGUGUCUGAAUUCCACUACAUUAAAUGGAUGUGGUGUGAAAGAGAGUGAGAGAGAGAAAAAUUAAUAUCAAGUGAAGUUAUAUGCAUGUUCAUUAUGCUUACCCUAUGAAUCAAGUGAAAUUUAUGGACCAGCGUGUUUAACUUAGAAAACUGAUGGAAACAUCCUUAAGGACAGGAAGUUUAGGAAACUAAAGAAUUUGAUGGCAAUUUUGUGCCUGGGAUUUUAAAAUAAUGUAGUUUAAAACUGCUUUACAAGUUUGAUACUGACUGCAAGGUGUUUUCCUUUUUAAUGAGUAAAAAAUGCUGCCCUCUUAGAAACCAGUUUCUCAACAAAAUCUAAUUUCACUCGUAACACACUGGAUUUCUACAGCUUUCACAGUCACUGGAAAAUAGCAAGUUGUGCUUACAUUGCUAAACAUAUUAGAUCAAGGAGUAAUAUGUUAGACUUUCAGGAUAUUAAUUUGCUAGGCUGCCACUAGAAAUUAAUUUUGAAUGUUCUCAAGAAAGAAUCAAAUAAAUUAAAUGCAAAGCCCAUAUGUUGUAGUAGAAAAAAUUGUUUUCUAAACUGAAAACCAAGAAUAAAAAUACUGCAUAUGUGUGCAACAGGGAUAAGUUAAAGAUACUUAAUUUUUGCAUUUUUUACUUUUGAGUAUUUUAAUUGUUCAGACUUUCACUAAACAAAUUUGAGUGAUAUCCUUUAAAAAUAAAAAGCAACAGAGGGUCCUGUGGCACCUUUAAGAC